rnacentral:rRNA from 1 species
UGGGGAAUAUUGGAUAAUGGGGGGAACCCUGAUCCAGCCAUGCCGCGUGUGUGAAGAAGGCCUUAUGGUUGUAAAGCACUUUAAGCGAGGAGGAGGGUACUGGUAUUAAUACUACCAGCUACUGGACGUUACUCGCCGAAUAAGCACCGGCUAACUCUGUGCCAGCAGCCGCGGUAAUACAGAGGGUGCGAGCGUUAAUCGGAUUUACUGGGCGUAAAGCGUGCGUAGGCGGCUAAUUGAGUCGGAUGUGAAAUCCCCGAGCUUAACUUGUGAAUUGCAUUCGAUACUGGUUAGCUAGAGUGUGGGAGAGGAUGGUAGAAUUCCAGGUGUAGCGCUGAAAUGCGUAGAUAUCUGGAGGAAUACCGAUGGCGAAUGCAGCCAUCUGGCCUAACACUGACGCUGACGUACGAAAGCAUGGGAAGCAAACAGG